GCGGAGGGCCAGAGCCCCCCCCCCACCCCCGAGCUCUGCACUUCAGACUCCAAAUCCCGCCUCGGGGUGAGCGUUAGCUUCUCCUGCCCCGUCAGCCUGCGGGAGAAGAGGGUGGUUUAAGGGACAGAAUCACUAGGGCCUGGCACGAUGAGCCUCUAAGCAAGAGCGGGAUUUUGGGAAGGAGUUGGGGAUGGGCUACAUAGGCUCUGCUCUGGCAGCGCGACGGGGCGGCUGCAGGAGGCGAGACGUGGCGCGGGGAGACGCGGCGCGGGGGCAUGGCGCAGACCUGGACGCAGGUUCCCACGGAGGACGGCACCUCCGGCUGAGACCAGGGCUUUCCCUGUUUCCAGCGGUAACAGAUAAACCUUUGCUCCUGGAAGAGGGACUGUAAUGCAGCCCAUGGCAGCAAAGUCUCUUAAAAGCCAGUCUCGUUGCUGUUAUGUUAAUUAUUAAUAGGAUGUGGGGAAGAAAGCACUGGAAAACCCCAACGGUUUGAGUCAAGCUGCUACUUCAUCUGCGCCCAGCAGAGCGGACCUGGCUUUCCCCUGGCUGUAGGGGAGAUUCCCAGGUGCCUUUUCCUGUGGCUUAGGCCCACGUGUCAGGGACGCAAGUACAGCGGUUAACAGAGAGGCUCUGAAACCCAGGGCCGUCAGAGAAACUGGGAAGCUAGAUGAGCUGUGUGGGUCUUGGCUUCAUCUUUAGCAAAGACGUACCCCCCGAAGGGAUGAAAUCCGUCUUGGCAGAAUCUCCUGUUAGCACGAUGCUGGGAUCGCAGCAGCCACCAGGACCCAGGCACUGGUGCCUGCUGGGCCGUCCCAGCCCGGGGAGCCCUGCCGAGCUGCCUGGGCAGGAUGGGACCUCGAGAUGGUGCUUGAAAUGCAAGGCAAAAAGUUGAGAGGGAGAAGUCUUUCCCAUGCUCAAACAACCCCAAUUGGAGUGAGGAAGCCCCAGUGCCGGCCUCAGCCCAGCUCCCCUGCUAGAGAUCCCGUUGUGCUGUGCAAAAAUAAAUAAAUAAAUAAAUAAAUGCCUAAAUUAACU
rnacentral:lncRNA from 1 species